rnacentral:pre_miRNA from 1 species
UGAGCGGACAGUAGUGCCACCCACUCUCCAGGGUAGCUGAGGGGAUGGUAGACCGGUGACGUGCACUUUAUUUACGAUGUAGGUCACCGGUUUGACUAUCCGUCGGUACCCAAUUCAGCUG